CCCCAUUUACGCUUUUACAAGAUUUUGCGACUGUUGUUGAAAAAUAGUUCCAAUUGAAUUGAAUUGUUUUGUGA
rnacentral:tRNA from 1 species